rnacentral:lncRNA from 1 species
UUUUCAUGAGCAUUGUCUAUCACCAAUAGUAACAACGCCUCAGAUCUAAACAAGUUGGGAUCGACUAUAUGAUUUUACUUUAUGCCAUCCGGAACAAUAUAAACAAUAACAAUUCUGUUAUUUUACAUUUUCUCGAUUCCUUUUUAUUUCUGUUUUUAAUUGUUUUGAAGAGCAGGGGCACAUCUAGUUUUUACUCGGAU